rnacentral:ncRNA from 2 species
GCUGCCGAGGGGCGCUGCAGGUCGAAUCGCCAAGGCGAUUCCGAACUCAGGCUCGGCCUGCAAUUCCCGUACAACGGCGCCCGCCCCAA